rnacentral:lncRNA from 1 species
AGAAAAACUGGGCACUUCGCACGGGUUUGCCGAGGGGGGAGGACGAACAGUGGACAGCAGCAGCAGCCUGGAUCAAGCCCAGGUUCCACACAAGCCCGCAGUCAGGGUAGCCGUCGCAAGGGUUCGCGACGGGGACGUGCGGCAGCAGUCUCGGGUCUUUCCGCGGCCAGGCUCCACGUCAUGGCCGAGAACCCGCCAAUCUUCGACAUGUGGCACACAGGCCUGUGCCACCGUAUCUGCUGACCGUCGAAGUCUGCGGGCACCCCAUUUCCAUGGAGCUGGACACAGGGGCCAGCGUGUCGGUCAUGGCCGGGAAACUGUUCAAGCGUACUUUCCCCGACAUGUCCGUCGAGGCUUCGGGCGUGAUGCUGCGCAGCUACUCCCGACAGCUCUCCCAGGUCCAGGGGCAGGCCCAGGUCAGCGUUCGCUUUGGUGACUGGGAGGCAACCCUUCCCCUUUAUUUAACCAAGGGGUCGUCACUGACGCUGCUGGGCUGAAACUGGAUUCACGCACUGGGCGUUCGGUUGCCGGAGUCCCAGGAAGACAUCACUCACAUGGUGCAGAGCUGCCAAGUCUGCCAGGAGCACCAGCGGGCCUCACGUCAUGUGGAGAUCACCCCCUGGCCGUUCCCACAGAGGCCCUAUUCCCGCUUGCAUGUGGAUUUUGGGGCUCCCUUCAAGGGCCAUUACUU